GGAUUAGAUCACCUCCCAAAUUCUUCAUCACAGAUCAGAGCCAUAACCCCAUCCGGAUUCAUCCCAGCAUUUUCGGAUUUCCUCUUAGCCACAUCCAGCCAACGGCAGCAUCCCCAAACUCCCGGAUUGAUCUCAGCAAGCCAAAUCAAAUUCAAAGUCUUCCUUAUCCUCUGCUUUGGAACAGAGUCUCAGCGUCCCAUGCUCGCCGUCCGCAAUGAAUCCAACGCUCCAAGCUCAAAUCCCAGCAAAUUUCAGCAUCCGUGGAUGAUCCUCCGAGGCCAUAUCCCACGAUCUUCGCAUCCAACAUUUUCAUCCCCAUGUCAUCUCCCAGAUUUUCCAUCCGCGUCUCCUCCGCGUUGAAAGCAUUGGUUUCUUCCGCUCAUCCCAGGCGUCCACCGUCCGCGUGGAACCAGAAUCAUCCUCCCAGCAUUCCGGAUCAUCCUCUCAGCAGAAUAGAGUCCAUCGACACGAGAUAAGCUCCAAAUCCAACUGCAUUCGCAUUCAUUUCGGGAUGUGAUCGAGAUCGUCACCUUCUUCCGUGUGCAUCCCACAUUGUCCACGUUCUCCACAAUCGUCCCCUGUUUCGGAACAGAAGCUCAGAUAGGUUCCAGCUAUCCUCCUAUUCGCGAUCGGACUUCAUCAGCUACGGAUAUCCUACGACCAGCCAGAUUCCCAAGCCUCCCAGCGUCCGGAUUAACAGCAACACCUUCCGAGCUUAGCAUCCAUCCACCGUCCACAUGGAUCCAGCCUUCAUCUCCUCCACGCGUCUGCUCUCAUCCCCUGCAUCCACGUCAACAGCCAUCCGCCCUUUCUCUCGUUCGCGGAUUGAUUCUAACCUCCAGAAUCCUAGCAGCCUUGAUUCGAAGUUAUCCUCUGAUUGAAGUCUGGGAUGGAGCUGUGAGGAAGAGUGGCUAUAAAAAGGCCAUCAGCCUUUGGCGUCAGGGAGGAGGGAAGGAGGGGGAUUAAACAGAGCUUCUUCUACCAUCGCGUCAUCAUCUCCUUCUCCUCUCUCACGCUUCCUCCUCCGAUUGGAGUCACCAGCCAUGUUGUCUUCAUCCUUCUCCACUGCUACUGUCGUCCACCAUGGAAGCCUAAUCUUCACUAGGGCUGGAUAAAGCUCUAACAAGGGAAUAAAGAUUGUGUAUCUUUAAUUUUUUUCUUGGAGUUGUAUGAAUUUUCUUAAUCUUAAAUGAAUAUUUUUCUUUUAUCUCAUAUUUAAUUUCUG
rnacentral:lncRNA from 1 species